GAUUGCCUAGUAACGGCGAGUGAAGCGGCAACAGCUCGAAUUUGAAAUCUGGCCUCGGCCCGAGUUGUAAUCUGUAGAGGACGCUUUUGGCGCGGUGCCUUCCGAGUUCCCUGGAACGGGACGCCACAGAGGGUGAGAGCCCCGUAAGGUCGGACACCAAGCCUGUGUAAAGCCCCUUCGACGAGUCGAGUAGCUUGGGAAUGCUGCUCUAAGCGGGAGGUAUACUUCUUCUAAAGCUAAAUAUUGGCCAGAGACCGAUAGCGCACAAGUAGAGUGAUCGAAAGAUGAAAAGCACUUUGAAAAGAGGGUCAAAUAGUACGUGAAAUUGUUGAAAGGGAAGCGCUUGUGAUCAGACUCGCGCCGGGCGGAUCAUCCAGUGGUCUCCACUGGUGCACUCCGGCCGGCGCGGGCCAGCGUCGGCUGUUGCGGGGGGACAAAAGCUCUGGGAACGUAGCUCUCUCCGGGGAGUGUUAUAGCCCUCUGCAGAAUACCCCCGCGGCGGCCGAGGUCCGCGCAUUGCAAGGACGCUGGCGUAAUGGUCAUCAGCGACCCGUCUUGAAACACGGACCAAGGAGUCGAGGUUUUGCGCGAGUGUUCGGGUGCAAAGCCCCAACGCGUAAUUAACGUGAACGUAGGUGAGAGCUUCGGCGCAUCAUCGACCGAUCCUGAUGUAUUCGGAUGGAUUUGAGUAGGAGCGUAAAGCCUCGGACCCGAAAGAUGGUGAACUAUGCCUGUAUAGGGUGAAGCCAGAGGAAACUCUGGUGGAGGCUCGCAGCGGUUCUGACGUGCAAAUCGAUCGUCAAAUAUGGGCAUGGGGCGAAAGACUAAUCGAACCAUCU
rnacentral:rRNA from 1 species